GUGAACGCUGGCGGUAGGCCUAACACAUGCAAGUCGCACGGCAGCACAGUAAGAGCUUGCUCUUACGGGUGGCGAGUGGCGGACGGGUGAGGAAUACAUCGGAAUCUACUUUUUCGUGGGGGAUAACGUAGGGAAACUUACGCUAAUACCGCAUACGACCUACGGGUGAAAGCAGGGGAUCUUCGGACCUUGCGCGAUUGAAUGAGCCGAUGUCGGAUUAGCUAGUUGGCGGGGUAAAGGCCCACCAAGGCGACGAUCCGUAGCUGGUCUGAGAGAAUGAUCAGCCACACUGGAACUGAGACACGGUCCAGACUCCUACGGGAGGCAGCAGUGGGGAAUAUUGGACAAUGGGCGCAAGCCUGAUCCAGCCAUACCGCGUGGGUGAAGAAGGCCUUCGGGUUGUAAAGCCCUUUUGUUGGGAAAGAAAAGCAGCAGGUUAAUACCCCGCUGUUCUGACGGUACCCAAAGAAUAAGCACCGGCUAACUUCGUG
rnacentral:rRNA from 1 species